CGUCUUUUCAGCGGAACGCCAAGCCCCUAUAUUCAAGGUGCUGGGGCUUGCUCCGGCUAUGGCGAUAAACGGCCGAUGGAAUAAACCUUUCGGACCCGGGGGCGGUACCCGGCGCCUCCACCUGAGCCCAGCCUCGAGCGCUGGUCUGAGGCGGGGGCGAAAUAGGAUCGACGAGGGUGUAAAGAUCGUUCUUUCGCUCGGCAUUGUACCACCGUUAUCGGGCUGAAAAAGUAGUUGCCAACGACAACUAUGCGGAAGUCCGUCUCGCCGCUUAACGCGGUGCGAUAGCUUCAAAUCAAGCCCUGAGGGUUCGCACUUUCAGGCGGGGCUCGGAGGUGCCUGGCAACAGAAACCUCCACU
rnacentral:tmRNA from 1 species